rnacentral:rRNA from 1 species
GCGAAAACUUUACAAUGCUGGCAACAGCGAUAAGGGAACCUCGAGUGCCAGGUUACAAAUCUGGCUGUCGAGAUGCCUAAAAAGCAUUUCAUAGCAAGGGCCGGGCAAGACCGGUGCCAGCCGCCGCGGUAACACCGGCGGCUCGAGUGGUAACCGUUAUUAUUGGGUCUAAAGGGUCUGUAGCCGGCAGGAUAAGUCUCUUGAGAAAUCUGGCAGCUUAACUGUCAGGCUUUCAGGAGAUACUGUCUGGCUCGAGACCGGGAGAGGUGAGAGGUACUUCAGGGGUAGGGGUGAGAUCUUGUAAUCCUUGAAGGACCACCAGUGGAGAAGGCGUCUCACCAGAACGGACCUGACGGCAAGGGACGAAAGCUAGGGGCACGAACC